AGAGUUUGAUCCUGGCUCAGAAUGAACGCUGGCGGCGUGCCUAACACAUGCAAGUCGUACGAGAAAUCCCGAGCUUGCUUGGGAGAGUAAAGUGGCGCACGGGUGAGUAACGCGUGGGUAACCCACCUUCGAAUCUGGGAUAACUCCGCGAAAGCGGUGCUAAUACCGGAUAAGACCACAGCCGUUUCGGCGGCAGAGGUAAAAGCUGACCUCUCCAUGGAAGUUAGCGUUCGAAGACGGGCCCGCGUCCUAUCAGCUUGUUGGUGGGGUAAAGGCCUACCAAGGCAGCGACGGGUAGCUGGUCUGAGAGGAUGAUCAGCCACACUGGAACUGGAACACGGUCCAGACUCCUACGGGAGGCAGCAGUGAGGAAUUUUGCGCAAUGGGGGAAACCCUGACGCAGCAACGCCGCGUGGGUGAAGAAGGCUUUCGGGUCGUAAAGCCCUGUCAGGUGGGAAGAAACUCUUCAGUACUAAUAAUGCUGAAGCCUGACGGUACCACCAGAGGAAGCACCGGCCAACUCCGUGCCAGCAGCCGCGGUAAUACGGAGGGUGCAAGCGUUGUUCGGAAUUAUUGGGCGUAAAGAGCGUGUAGCGGCUUGGUAAGUCAGAUGUGAAAGCCCUGGGCUCAACCCAGGAAGUGCAUUUGAAACUACCAGACUUGAGUACGGAGAGGAGGGGGGAAUUCCCGGUGUAGAGGUGAAAUUCGUAGAUAUCGGGAGGAUACCGUUGGCGAAGCGCCCCUCUGG
rnacentral:rRNA from 1 species